rnacentral:tRNA from 1 species
GCCAGGGUGGCUCAGUUGGUUGAGCACCUGACUUCAGCUCAGGUCAUGAUCUCAGGGUCCUGGGAUUGAGCCUCACAUCUGGCU